rnacentral:tRNA from 1 species
GCCUCGGUAGCGCAGUAGGCAGCGCGUCAGUCUCAUAAUCUGAAGGUCAUGAGUGCGAUCCUCACUCGGGGCA